rnacentral:rRNA from 1 species
UAGGGAAUCUUCGGCAAUGGACGAAAGUCUGACCGAGCAACGCCGCGUGAGUGAAGAAGGUUUUCGGAUCGUAAAACUCUGUUGUUAGAGAAGAACAAGGACGUUAGUAACUGAACGUCCCCUGACGGUAUCUAACCAGAAAGCCACGGCUAACUACGUGCCAGCAGCCGCGGUAAUACGUAGGUGGCAAGCGUUGUCCGGAUUUAUUGGGCGUAAAGCGAGCGCAGGCGGUUUCUUAAGUCUGAUGUGAAAGCCCCCGGCUCAACCGGGGAGGGUCAUUGGAAACUGGGAGACUUGAGUGCAGAAGAGGAGAGUGGAAUUCCAUGUGUAGCGGUGAAAUGCGUAGAUGUAUGGAGGAACACCAGUGGCGAAGGCGGCUCUCUGGUCUGUAACUGACGCUGAGGCUGGAAAGCGUGGGGAGCAAACAGG